rnacentral:rRNA from 1 species
GACGAACGCUGGCGGUGUGCUUAACACAUGCAAGUGGUGCGACGAACCAGAGCUUGCUCUGGGGCAAAGCCGCGAACGGGUGAGUAACACGUGGGUAAUCUACCCCGAUGACCGGGACAACCCGAGGAAACUCGGGCUAAUACCGGAUGUGGUGCGGAGACAUAAGUCUCUUCACUAAAGGUAGCUUCGGUUUCCGCAUUGGGAGGGGCCCGCGGCCCAUUAGCUUGUUGGUGGGGUCAAGGCCUACCAAGGCAACGAUGGGUAGCUGGUCUGAGAGGACGAUCAGCCACACUGGGACUGAGACACGGCCCAGACUCCUACGGGAGGCAGCAGUGGGGAAUCUUGCGCAAUGCGCGAAAGCGUGACGCAGCAACACCGCGUGAGGGAAGAAGGCCUUAGGGUUGUAAACCUCUUUCAGAUGGGACGAAGGUUCUCCGGUGAAUAGCCGAGAGGAUUGACGGUACCGGCAGAAGAAGCUCCGGCUAACUACGUG